rnacentral:misc_RNA from 1 species
GAUGAAGAACGUAGCGAAAUGCGAUAAGUAAUGUGAAUUGCAGAAUUCAGUGAAUCAUCGAAUCUUUGAACGCAUCUUGCGCUCCUUGGUAUUCUGAGGAGCAUGCCUGUUUGAGUGUCAUUAAAUUCUCAACUACACUGACUUUGAAUUGGUGUGGCUUGGAUUUGGGGGGAAAAUUGUUGUGGGCUUUUUGUAUAGUCUGCUCCCCUGAAAUUGAUUAGCGGUACCUUUGUGGAACUGUCUACAGGAGUGAUAAUUAUCUACAUCUUAGACAUCUGCUGGAAUGCUGCUUUCUAAACCUUACUUGUAUUGACAAUCUUGACCUCAAAUCAGGUAGGACUACCCGCUGAACUUAAGCAUAUCAAUAAGCGGAGGA